rnacentral:lncRNA from 1 species
GUUCGAUUGAAAAAAUCCUUUGGUUCAGAUUUAUUAGGAAAAAAUCUGAAAAAAGAAGAUGUAAUUUCCCCAAAUGUGAAUUUCUUUGUCAUCAUCUAUCACCAUGGGUGGGGGUGUAAGGUAAGUUACUUCUAAGAGAUGCUGUCCUCAAAUUCAUCUGGUAAAAUAAUGAUGUUAGUGCCCCCGUGCUGCUCUUCAAAGGGCCUUUUGUUUCGUUAAUCACAAUGUUGAACCAGUGUCCUACUUGAUCAGUAACAGUAUCUAGCAGAAGUAUGAUGGAGUGGAAGCCAUGCGAUGCUGGCUUGGCAAAUAAUGGUAAAAGGCAGCAAACUAACAAAAUGCCAUACUGCCAAAAGGCCCAGAAUAAGGAUGGACAUUGAGUUUUCCCAAAUGCAAAUAAGAUAGAUGAGAAAAUCACUGUCUGAGGUAAGAUGCAUGAGUGUUUUACACAUAGUUUCCCUAGAAGAAAUAUCAUCCAGAAGAAGUAAGAAGCUUCUAGACUAUUAGUCCUUGCCCACGAAUUGUUCGGUUUUACUUCCCUUUUAUUAAAAGCCAUGUGUGGAUUUACCGUAGAAUACCAAUCAUUUUCCUCAGAAAUGGAUUAUAAUCCUCCAUGCUAAAAAACAACUUCUGAGUUGAGGCUCCAAGUAGUUUCCUACUCCCACAACGAAAACAUUUUUGUUAUUUUAU